rnacentral:rRNA from 1 species
AUAUCAAUAUGGGGCCUUUGGUUUCAUAAUUGGAAUGGGUGCAAAUUAAAACUCUGCACGAGGAUCAAUUGGAGGGCAAGUCUGGUGCCAGCAGCCGCGGUAAUUCCAGCUCCAAUAGCGUAUAUUAAAGUUGUUGCAGUUAAAAAGUUCGUAGUUGAAUUUCUGGACGCGACGGCGGUCCGCCUUCGGGUGUGUACUUGCUGUUCGCGCCCAAACCUUGCGGAGAAGGCGUGUGGCCUUAACUGGUUGUGCGUUCGGAUCCGCAUCAAUUACUGUGAGCAAAUUAGAGUGAUUAAAGCGGGCAUUUCGCUUGAAUACAUUAGCAUGGAAUAAUGAGAUAGGACUUUGGUGCUAUUUCGUUGGUUGCGUGCCAAAGUAAUGAUUAAUAGGGACAGUUGGGGGUAUUCAUAUUUGAUUGUCAGAGGUGAAAUUCUUGGAUUUAUCAAAGAUGAACAACUGCGAAAGCAUUUACCAAGGAUGUUUUCAUUAAUCAAGAUCGAAAGUCAGGGGAUCGAAGAGGAUUAGAUACCCUCGUAGUCUUGACCAUAAACUAUGCCGACUCAGGAUUGGCGGUGUUCUUCAAUGUCGCCGCCAGCACUGUAUGAUAAAUCAAAGUCUUUGGGUUCCGGGGGGAGUAUGGUCGCAAGGCUGAAACUUAAAGGAAUUGACGGAAGGGCACACCAGGAGUGGAGCCUGCGGCUUAAUUUGACCCAACACGGGGAAACUUACCAGGUCCAGACAUAGUAAGGAUUGACAGAUUGAGAGCUCUUUCUUGAUUCUAUGGGUGGCGGUGCAUGGCCGUUCUUAGUUGGUGGAGUGAUUUGUCAGGUUAAUUCCGGUAACGAACGAGACCUCCGCCUGCUAAAUAGUCACGUGAUGCUUUGCAUCCACGGGCGACUUCUUAGAGGGACUACGGGCGGUGAGCUCGCGGAAGUUGGAGGCAAUAACAGGUCUGUGAUGCCCUUAGAUGUUCUGGGCCGCACGCGCGCUACACUGACUGGUUCAGAAAGCUUUAUCCUUUGCUCCGAAAGGCAUGGGUAAUCUUUAGACGCCAGUCGUGAUGGGGAUAGAUUCCUGUAAUGAUAAUCUUCAACGAGGAAUUCCUAGUAAACGCAACUCAUCAGGUUGCAUUGAUUACGUCCCUGCCCUUUGUACACACCGCCCGUCGCACCUACCGAUUGAAUGGUCCGGUGAAACUCUCGGAUCGUGGUCGUUUGCCUUUUCACGGAGGCGUCGAUCGCGAGAAGUUAUUUUAACCUUAUCAUUUAGAGGAAGGUGAAGUC